UGGGGAAUUUUGGACAAUGGGGGAAACCCUGAUCCAGCCAUCCCGCGUGUGCGAUGAAGGCCUUCGGGUUGUAAAGCACUUUUGGCAGGAAAGAAACGUCAUGGGUUAAUACCCCGUGAAACUGACGGUACCUGCAGAAUAAGCACCGGCUAACUACGUGCCAGCAGCCGCGGUAAUACGUAGGGUGCAAGCGUUAAUCGGAAUUACUGGGCGUAAAGCGUGCGCAGGCGGUUCGGAAAGAAAGAUGUGAAAUCCCAGAGCUCAACUUUGGAACUGCAUUUUUAACUACCGGGCUAGAGUGUGGCAGAGGGAGGUGGAAUUCCGCGUGUAGCAGUGAAAUGCGUAGAUAUGCGGAGGAACACCGAAGGCGAAGGCAGCCUCCUGGGAUAACACUGACGCUCAUGCACGAAAGCGUGGGGAGCAAACAGG
rnacentral:rRNA from 1 species